UGGUUCUGGCAUNGAUGAAGAACGCAGCGAAAUGCGAUAAGUAAUGUGAAUUGCAGAAUUCAGUGAAUCAUCGAAUCUUUGAACGCACAUUGCGCCCCUUGGUAUUCCGGGGGGCAUGCCUGUUCGAGCGUCAUUUCAACCCUCACGCGUAGCGUGGUCUUGGGCUCUGCCGGCAACGGCUGGCCUUAAAAUCAGUGGCGGUGCCAUCGAGCUCUACGCGUAGUAAUAAACCCCUCGCGUGUGAGUCUCGGCGGUCGCUUGCCAGCAACCCCCAAUUUUUUAUGGUUGACCUCGAAUCAGGUAGGGAUACCCGCUGA
rnacentral:misc_RNA from 1 species